GUGAGACAGUUCGGUUCCUAUCUACCGUUGGAACACGAGAAUUGAGAGACGCUCACCCUAGUACGAGAGGACUGGGUGGGAUCAACCUAUGGUGUAUCGGUUGUGGCGCCAGCCGCAGCGCCGAGUAGCUACGUUGGUAUAGGAGAACUGCUGA
rnacentral:rRNA from 1 species